UCAAUUGACACUCAAACCAACUCAAAAUUACUAUAAUGAUAAAGUGAACUUAUCUGCUUAUGGAGCAAAUACUCUAUAGAGCAAUACUCUAGAGGUAAGUAGGUAAGUGGGACCAAGAACAGGUGCUAUAGUCACAGAUCCAGCUCCAUUCGCUUUCUGAUUCUCCCAGAAAUGCUCUCCUCUGGGUGUUGGGUUUCUCCCUAGACUGUUGGGGAAAUGGCCACAGAAAUUUGAGAUUUCCCAUCCAUGUAUAACCAAGGCCUGCUUUCCAGUGGUUCUCUUGCAAGUAUAAAGAAACUUCUCCCCUAGCUUCCCCAGUUCCCAUUGAUCUUGCUCUUGCAUUUUUUAUUGGCUUGACAUACCUAUUCUGAACCAACUUCUCUGGUCAGUAAAAUUCCAUAUGCCGGUUACAUCAGACCUGGGUUUCUGAACUGGGCAUUAGCAUGGAAAGCAGAGAUUGGGCUUAAUCUCAUUAGGAGGGGAUUCAUUGAUCUCUCUUGUGUCAUGAACUGCAUCACUACUAACCAAAGAGGCUGAGAUCCGGAAUGGGUAUCAGGAGGGGAAAGUAUCUGACACAAAAGUCAAAAGAGAGAGCUUCAGAAUGAAUGGGUAAUCAUUCAUGCCAAAAAUUAUCGUUGAGAUCAAGUAGGAUAGAUAUAAAGAAACCAUUAAAUGUGUCAGUCACUGGGAUAAAUGGUCAUUGAUGACCUUUGGGUGAGACUUUUUGGAGAAGCUCUGGGGCAACCCUUGCAGAACACUCUUUGAAGGAAUCCAGUGGCACAGAGAGAGAGAUAAGGGAUGUUAAAUCAGUUGCAAUUCAAUGAAGCCUGUAAAUGUACUUGAGAAUAUUAUUUUACUUUGUUAAUAAAUUCAUAACAACUCAUUCCUUUCUAGGUUGAAAGGAGGAAAAUUAAUCCUGCAUGUGAAAACAAUAUGACAAUUUGUGAACAAAAGGAAGAGGUUGUAAACACAGAGAGAAUGAUAAAUAUACAAGGCAUGGUGAAAGGAGAUUGAGGCUCAAAGAAGUUCAGCUCACCCAAAGUCAUAACUAACUAGCAAGUGGCAAAGCCAGGAUUCAAACUCUGUGCUUCCUUUUUAGAGGAGAGAGCAGUGCCUGCUUAGCCCUUCAGCAAAUUUCCUUCAAGUGACAUUCACAGAAGCAUGUAAGUCACUCCCAGAUGACAAGGUAGGCACUGUCUUCCACUCCUUGCAAUUCUGUGCAGGAGGAGGUACAUAGAUUGACCACCAACAUGAGGCCG